rnacentral:lncRNA from 1 species
AGGAAGAGGAGGGGAGGGGAGGGGGAGGAGCGGAGAGGAGAGAGAAGGGCAGAGGAGGGGAGGGCCGCGGUCAGUCCUCAGCUCUCCCUGGGCCGCCGUCCGCGCUCACACCCCCCUCCCGGCUGACUGGUCCCGUCUGGCUCCCGUCAGCUUCUCCCUGAAUCGCUCUGCUCGGCCUCGAGCUGACUCCGGCCAUCUGGUCUACCUCCAGCUCCUUCUCCAACUCCUUCCGUCUUCACCCGAGCUCGCUCUCUCUCUCUCUCUCUCUCUCUCUGCACCCUGUUUCCCUGUCUCUGCACAGUCUCUCUCUCUCUCUCUCUGCAGCCUUUUCUCUCUCUGCAGCCUUCUCUGCUGUCUCUCUCUCUACACCCUGUCUCUCUGUUUCUUUGUCUCUCUCUGUACCCUGUCUCUCUCUGUUUCUGUCUCUGUACCCUGUCUCUCUCUGCAGCCUGUCUCUGUCUCUCUCUCUCUACACCCUGUCUCUCUGUUUCUCUCUCUGUCUCUGUCUGUACCCUGUUUCCCUCUCUCUCUGCAGCCUUUGCUCUCUCUCUGCAGCCUUCUCCGUCUCUGCAGCCUGUCUCCCUGUCUCUCUCUGCACCUUUUCCCUCUCUCUCUGUUUCUCUCUCUGCAGCCUAUCUCUUUGUCUGUCUCUCCGUUUCUGUCUCUGUACCCUGUCUCUCUCUCUGCAGCCUUCUCUGUCUCUGCAGCCUGUCUCCCUGUCUCUCUUUCUCUCUAUCUAAACCCUGUCUCUCUGUUUUUCUCUCUGGACCCUCUCUCUGUCUCUCUCUGCACCCUGUUUCCCUCUCUCUGACUCUCUGUUUCUCUCUGUGUUUCUCUCUCUGCACCCUGUCUCCCUGUCUCUCUCUCCAUUUCUGUCUCAGUACAAUAUCUCUCUCUCUGCAGCCUUCUCUCUGUCUCUGCAGCUUGUCUCCCUGUCUCUCUCUCUCUACACUCUGUCGCUCUGUCUCUCUCUCUGGAGCCUCUCUCUAUCUCUGUCUCUCUCUCUCUCUGUUUCUCUUUCUGCAGCCUUCUCUCUCUGUCUCUCUCUGCACUGUCUCCCUGUCUCUCUUUCCAUUUCUGUCUCUGUACCGUAUCUCUCUCUCUGCAGCCUUCUCUCUCUCUCUGCAGCCUGUCUCCCUGUCUCUCUCUGUCUCUACACCCUGUCUCUCUGUUUCUCUCCCUGGACCCUCUCUCUCUCUCUGUCUCUGUCUCUCUCUGCACCCUGUCUCCCUGUCUCUCUCUCCGUUUCUGUCUCUGUACCCUAUCUCUCUCUCUGCAGCCUUCUCUCUGUCUCUGCAGCCUGUCUCC